ACUUUAUCUGAAGGAAUGCUACUCUUGGACCUGCAUCCAUGGUCAUUCACAUGUGUAGAGUUGGCACACGUGCAUGGUCCAAAUUUCUUUUGUCCUUUUUGUCCUUUUUGUUUGCUGGUAAUUUGUCUGUUAUACCAAAUCUUGCUAGUGACAUUUUCGGUCACUGACCAAUGAGCUCACUUGUACAAACUAAAAAUCGAAAUAGUACUCUGUAAUCCUUUAGACAGAACAAUGUAUAAUACAUGUUGUACAUCAUGCAUACCAACUGUUGGAUGAAUUACCUCAAUAAAGAACGUUUUGUGUGGAUCUCACUUGUGGGACCAUCUUUUUCUAUCGAUGAAUGGGCACACAUGGAUGUAUGGUUGAAGACCAUACCAUUGGUGCCCCUUUGGAUAAAAGUAGAGCUGGUCUGACCAUUUAAACUUUUCUUUCAUCAUUAUGUGUUUUUACACCUUACAGAUUUGAUGAACUUUAACCAUUUUUGCUUUUAGCCCUGUUUGAGGGAUGCCAUUCCGAUGAUAAAAAUGCAAUUGCCAAAGUAAUUUUUAGUCUAUCCAGAUACAUAAGGAUCCAUCAGAGGGAUGUUUCAGAUCAUCAAAAUAUACAAUCAUGUGUGCUUGGCUUGUCCAUAAUUGCUUGAGCCAAGAAAUGGGCCUCAACCACUAAUUAUCCUUAUAUCGAAUGCUUACACAAAUGCAUUGAGGUCAGAAAGCCUGGAGCUUGUGCAACCCAGCUCUCUUACAAUCUAACAUAGGCCUGGAUAGAAGGUGUGUAAUAUCCAAGCUUUCCAUCAAGUGGUUCCCCACUUCUUGAUGCCACGGUCCAAAAAUCAGGCAAGUCCACUCCAUAUGCUUAUUCAAAGUGGAAGUAACUAUAUAGAGUGUAGGCUCAGGGGUCCACGAUGCUUACAUGGAUGCAUGAUCAAAGCUGCUCAUCAGUUUUAUCCUUGAAAAGGGGAAGAAAAAUCUGUCCACAUAUUUAUAAAAAAAAAUUCCAUAGCUAUUCUCCUCCAUUUGCUAGUUACAGGUGGAGCAUUGGUAAUAGAGGGGGGCUUUGCUGCUUCAUAUGGGGAUGGAUAUGGACUUCAUUCGGUAUGGUUGUUUUUGCAGGAAAUAUUUAUGACUGAAAAUUUAAUUUUAGAUAGUGUAACUUAGAUUAUGAGUGUACAUACUGUUUUAUUACCUGACCUCUAUGCAUGGCAGGGUGGUGCUGACAAAGGUCCUCUAUAUGGCAUGAGUUCCCUUGUUCUUGGGGUGCAUUUGAGAAGUCUCGCCUCGGGCGUCACUGAAGUCCGUUGAUUUUUUUUUCUUCUGCUUUUCCUUGUGUCUCAAUCUGUAAAUUUUCUGUCCAUUAUGUAAGCUUUCAUUCUUAGGCCCCACUGUUAAUGAGGCUGGUUGUAAAUGAUUUAUAGGUUGUGUUUGAAUGCUAAUUUAAGCUUGUAAAGGUCUUUUGAUUUAGAAGA